AUUUUUCUUCAUUGCUGGGACAUUUUUUUGUGCUCUGGAUAUUUCAAUCCCAAUAGCUUAUCUCAUGAUUUAUGGGUUUCAAUUGCUGAAAUCUUUGGCGGGCCUUUUAAUGCCUUGGCUGAAAUUUUAGUUUCUGGCUCUGAGAGGUCUGUAGGUUGGUAGUUAGUGCUACUGCAUAACAUGCAAUUAGUACAUUGAGAAUAAUGUAAUGAUAAGCAGACUUCUUAAUAGGUUGUUAAUUUGUUCAUUACUUUUAAUUUCACUAGAUAUAACAAUUGUAGCUUAUUGUUUGGGAUGGCAUUCUCGAGGCUUUGUUAUUUUAGACAAAGUGGUAAUCAUGCAUUUG
rnacentral:misc_RNA from 1 species